UGCCCUCGGCCCCCUGUGUUGCCUGGAUCUGACUUCCCCUGACUGAAAAGACCUCCCAUUUUCUCCUGAGGACUGCACACUGGGUGAGUGCUAUGAAUGCCUUCAGA
rfam:Felis catus isolate Cinnamon breed Abyssinian chromosome B3, whole genome shotgun sequence.